UACAGAGGUCUCAAGCGUUGUUCGGAUUCAUUGGGCGUAAAGGGUGCGUAGGCGGCGCGGUAAGUCAGGUGUGAAAAUCUCGGGGCUUAACUCCGAAACUGCAUUUGAUACUGCGGUGCUUGAGGACUGGAGAGGAGACUGGAAUUCAUGGUGUAGCAGUGAAAUGCGUAGAGAUCAUGAGGAAGACCAGUGGCGAAGGCGGGUCUCUGGACAGUUCCUGACACUGAGACACGAAGGCCAGGGGAGCAAACGGG
rnacentral:rRNA from 1 species